rnacentral:rRNA from 1 species
UUUGCCUACGGGGGGCAGCAGUGGGGAAUAUUGCACAAUGGGGGAAACCCUGAUGCAGCAACGCCGCGUGAGUGAAGAAGUAUUUCGGUAUGUAAAGCUCUAUCAGCAGGGAAGAAGGAAGACGGUACCUGACUAAGAAGCCCCGGCUAACUACGUGCCAGCAGCCGCGGUAAUACGUAGGGGGCGAGCGUUAUCCGGAUUUACUGGGUGUAAAGGGAGCGUAGACGGUUAAUCAAGUCUGAAGUGAAAGCCCGCGGCUCAACUGCGGAACGGCUUUGGAAACUGAGUAACUAGAGUGUUGGAGG